GUCUCUCUCUAACGAAGGGACAUCAAUCCCCAAUCCCCAAUACACAGCCGUCGAGCCCCUUCCUCCCAGCAGCGUUUUCCUUCACCGUCGCCAACUCGCCGAACAGAGCCUCGCGGACAGCACCUCGGCGCGGUCCUCUCUCCCUCCCUCCCUCCUUUCGCAGUUCACAGUUGCCGUUUCCCUCCCUCGCGUCGCAACUUCUCCCUUUCCCUCCCUCGCUCUCGCAGCCUCUCCCUUCCUGUUGUGCUGGUGCUGCUGUUUUAAUUUGUAAAAUAGAAGAUUCGCCUUGAGCAGGAGAAUGAAGGCGUUCCUAACACUGCAAUUCGCGAGAUUUCUCUCCUCAAGGAAAUGUAGCACAUGAAUAUUGUUAGGUCAAUGCGACUCUCUGGUUUGAGUGGAGCAAGAUCGAGACGCCUACGGAUGAAGUUGUUGUGCCUUAUGAUAGUCUAGCUCCACUCCUGAAGGUGUGUGACAGGUGAAAGGAUGCACUUCAGCUUUGCUGCAAUUUGCAAAGACAACAAACAUCCCCGUUCUUUUGGAAGAAAGAUCACCCAAUGCAGUGCAAGAGAAAGGUUUUAAUUUUGAUGAUACUAGGAUUAUGAGAGGAGCAUGGAGGAAUGAGUCUAAUCCUGAUAUCUGCAAGGUUAUUGAAGGGUGCAGUGCUUUUUGGAUUCAUGGCAUUUGGUACUUUUUAAGUUUUAAUUGAUCGAUAACUGAGAUUGCCUUCAUCAGAGUAAGAAACAGAAGGCAGCAAAGAGAGGGAGAGAGAGAGAGCAGAACCAAGACGGAAAGAAGGAGAGACAGGACAAGUUCCUCCACUUCUUCUUCUACUUAUAUGAGUGCUUGCUUCAUCUGGGUCAUCACAGACACGCACAAAUAGAAGAAAGAAAAGAAUGAAACGGAGUUGAGGGAGAAGGGAGGAGUGACCGAAACUUCAAUUUUGUGUGGCUAGGAUUUUUAAUUCAAGGAAGAAGCACAAACAGAAUUUUGAACUUCAAAAGAGAAAUUCAAUGGGUUCAUGAGGAUAGAAUUACAUUGUUCACCGCUGAUGGACUGGUGCAGAUUGGAGGCUCCAUCACCCCUCGCCAUGUUAGCUCUUCAGAUGUAGUACCGAAGACUAUUGGAAAAGAUAGGAUGCUGCUCAAGUAAUGGCUCAGUUAGUAUGGGAAGGACUUGGACUCGGAGGAGGGACAGAUGUCCGAAACUGGGGCAGCCUGGUUUAUCAGGCUAUUUCAAUAGCAAAUAAUGCAUGCUGGGCUAUUGGAGAACUUGCAGUUAAGAUUUGAGUUAUUUUCUGUGGUCACCACAUUUUAAAGCAACAGCUCAAAGAAAAAGGGACAACUUUAAAAGAUGAACUUGGAGACAUGAAGGCCAAACAGUAACAACAAGAGGAAGAGAUUCAUGGAUUGUGGAAUAUGGUUUAGUUAUUAGAAAAUACUUAUGUAAGAUAUAAUAUUUUAGUUUUUCGUAGAGUAUUAGUAGUAAAUUCUAAGUGGUCUCUUGCUUAUUUUGAUAUGACUAUGCUUAAUUUGGUGUGAGAUGUAUGAAUAUUCAAAAUUAAUUUCAUUUUAAUAUUUU